ACGGAAGUCGACGAUGUGACUAUGAGUGUGGUGCGAAAGAAGAAGACUACUGUUUAGAAGCGAAGAAUGUAAAAUCAGUAACGAUUGUGUGAUAAAAACCAUUUAAUUCGUAACUUUUCGGAAAACCAUUUAGUUUAGCAGAAAAACGGCUAAAAAGCUAGAUUUACAGCGCCCACAGUUUCUAAAAAAAAACAUCCGUUUCGAAAUUAUGCUCUACGUUCUUGAAUUAUAGGUAUUAUAUAUGUUCCUGAGAUCUCGACGUUCAUACGGACAGACGGCCAGACGGACAUGGCCAGAUCGAUUCGGCUACUGAUCCUGAUCAAGAAUAUAACUAUAUACGUUAUAUGUUUGGAGAUGCUUCCUUCUGCCUGUUACAUACUUUUCAACGAAUCUAGUAUACCCUUUUACUCUACGAGUAACGGGUAUAAAUAUAACCAAAUAAUUUAACUGAA